UCAGUGGCUUAGUGGUUAGAGCAUCUGCUUUGGAUGAGGUUGGUCAUGGGUUCUAACCCCAGCCAAGUCAUAACAA